rnacentral:rRNA from 1 species
GACGAACGCUGGCGGCGUGCCUAAUACAUGCAAGUAGAACGCUGAAGACUUUAGCUUGCUAAAGUUGGAAGAGUUGCGAACGGGUGAGUAACGCGUAGGUAACCUGCCUACUAGCGGGGGAUAACUAUUGGAAACGAUAGCUAAUACCGCAUAACAGCUUUUAACUCAUGUUAGGAGCUUGAAAGGUGCAAUUGCAUCACUAGUAGAUGGACCUGCGUUGUAUUAGCUAGUUGGUGAGGUAACGGCUCACCAAGGCGACGAUACAUAGCCGACCUGGUGGGGUGAUCGGCCACACUGGGACUGAGUCACGGCCCAGACUCCUACGGGAGGCAGCAGUAGGGAAUCUUCGGCAAUGGGGGCAACCCUGACCGAGCAACGCCGCGUGAGUGAAGAAGGUUUUCGGGUCGUAAAGCUCUGUUGUAAGAGAAGAACGUGUGUGAGAGUGGAAAGUUCACACAGUGACGGUAACUUACCAGAAAGGGACGGCUAACUACGUGCCAGCCGCCGCCGUAA